rnacentral:lncRNA from 1 species
GAAUAAUCUCACAACAUCAGAAGCAAAACUUAUGGCGAGUUUUUAAACAGGUAUAUUCGAAUGACUGUCAGAAAAAAGCAAAACAUCGAAAUCAAGAUAAUCAAUUGUAGAUUUAUUUUUCCUAACAUAACGACACGAUUGAAUGUCGUCUACUUUUACUGAAAAAUUAACUAAAAAAUAAGGCUCGUAAAACAGUCUUAUCCAAAAGCAAGUGCUAAUUAAAGUUAUGUUUUUUUCCUUUUCAAGGAGAGCUUUUAAACAGUCGAAACUAGUAACAAGGUAUACACCAAAAUAAAUAAGCACUUUUAUAAAAAAAGAUGCUUUCAAUAAACAUAACAAUGGAAACUUCAUAUUUCAGACAAUUGGUCGUAAACGCAUGCGAACGUUUAUAUCUGCAUUCGAGGUUACUGAUUAUUUUUUUUGUAAAAAAAUUUAAAUGCACUUAAACAAAGUUAGUGUACACUGUUUUUCCAUUGUAUAAUGAUUACUAUCUGCAUUGAUAUUCAAUUAUUGCCUUGUUUUUCUAUUAUUGAUUUCAGUAGAAUUUCCAAACUUAUGAAAUACCCUUACAACAUAAGAAUCAAAACUUUUGGCGACUUUUAUUGUUUGUUUUAUAGAGAUUAACAUAAUAACACAAUGUCCACUGCUGUGCCUCUAUUUUUGACAUUUUUACUUAUUAUGUCUGUUUGUUUUCUUAAGAUUUUUAUACGACAAUCAUACAAGUGAGAGGUUUAACUAGCUUUAAAACCAGGUUUAAUCCAACAGUUUUUAUAAAAGAAAAUGCAUGUACUAAGUCAUGAUUAUGACAGUUGAUGUUUAUUGGAUUGAUAUGGUCACUAUUUUCUAUUGUACUUUGAUUACUAUCUUCAUUAAUAUGCAAUCAUUGACUAUUUCCUAUUUUUAAUUUCAGGAGCAUUUGCAAAGUUAUGGAAUGAUCUAACAACAUCAGGGUCAAAACUUUUGGCGACUUUUACAAACAGGUUUAUUCGAAUGACUGUUAGAAAAAACUAUACAUCAAUAUCAAGAUAAUUAACUGUACAUUUAUUCUACCUAAUAUAACGGUACUAUUGAAUGUAGUUUACUAUUGCUAAAAACAUUAUAACACAAGAAGGCACGUAAAACAGUCUUUCCCAUAAACAAUUGUGAAUAAAAUGACGUUUUCUUUUGCAAGGAGAGUCUUUAAAAAGUUGAAACUAGAGGAAAAGUAUGCACAAAAACAAAUAAGCACGGUUAUAACAAGAUUGUUUCAAUGAAAAAAAAAAAACCAAAGGUAGGGUAAUUUAUCAGACAGUUAGUCUUAAACGCAUUCGAACACAUAUAUGUCUAUAUAACUUUUUGUCUAUAUGUCUGUUUGUCUAUAUGCCUUUUUGUGUUUAUUUCUUAUAUAUGACAUGGCUUUAUACUUAUACAUCCCAUCAUUGUAUUAUUGUGCCAUGGUUAAUGUUUGUUAAUAUUUUUGUUUGUUUUAUAGGAAUUAAGAUAAUAACACAAUGUUGACUGCUGUGCCUCUAUUUCCGACAUUUUUACCUGUUAUGUCUGUUUGUUUUGUUCACAAAUCGUUGUCAAUAUAAUGGAUUUUAAUACGACAGUCAUACCAGGGAGAGGUUUAACUAGCCUUAAAACCAAUUAAAUCCACCAUUUUUUAUAGAAUGAAAAUGCCUGUACCAAGUCAGAAAUAUGACAGUUGGUGUUCAUUCGUUUGGUAUAGUCACUAUUUUCUAUUGUACAUAAAUUAUUAACUUCAUAAAUGUUUAAUUAUUGACUCUUUCUAUUAUUAAUUUCAGGAGAAUUUCCCAACUUGUGGAAUAAUCUCACAACAUCAGAAGGAAAAGUUUGGCGACUUUUAUAAACAGGUAAAUUCGAUGGACUGUUAGAAAAAAGCAAUAUAUCAAGAUCAAGAUCAAGAUUAUCAACUGUACAUGCAUUCUAUCUAAUAUAACGGCACUAUUAAAUGUGGUUUAAUAUUGCUAAACAAAUAAACAAAUAAAAAAGGUGUGCACGCAAAACGGUCUUAUCCAAAAGCAAUUACAAAUAAAAUGAUGUUUUUUUUUCUAUUGCAAGGAGAGUCAUUAAAAAGUCGAAACAAGUGACAAAGUGUGUGUAAUGCACAGUACGUCAAAACAAAAAUAUCAAGCAUACAUCAUACACAUUUGGUAAAUACACAUCCAUACCCCUUAGGCAAUUCAAGAGAUGUUCCGAAAAGUGUAAUUAUACCCUUUUUGUACCUGGCCUAAUCACUAUUUCCAUAUAAACAUCAGUUAAAAAGAAAAAUCCAAAGUUUUAUUUAAGCUCUCUUCUAUCAUUUCCACCCCAGAAAAACUAAGAAAUCUGAGGAAGGGAAAGAAAAAAAUAAAGACAAAAAACACUAUUAUUAAAGGGAACUAUAUUCGUAGACAACGAAAAGCGGGAUCAUUAAUUGUGGUUUUGGGCCAAUAAGAUAUCUGACUCUGAGUUUUACUGUGCGUGAUUUCGUGUCUAUGUUUAUUCUACAUUGUUUAGAGGUGUUAGAUGGUCUAACAAUACAUAUGUAUGUCCAAGUCAGGAGCCUCCGUCUUUUGUUAGUCUUGUUUAUGUGUUGUCAAUUGAAUUAAUUGUUUUCUAAAUAUUGGACUUGUGUGUAACUUCUAUUUUCAAUGCAUACGUACACAUGUUAAGGGGCCAGCUGCAUGAAGCCCGCCUUCGGUCGCUGAAAUUUUCCCGCUGUGAAGAGCCAAUGGGUGAUCUUGAGCUCUUUUUUGCCCUUUGAUCGGGUUGUUGCCUUUGUUACACGUUCCACAUUUCCAUUCUUAAUGUUAUCAUACACAUUUAAGGAUAAUUGUCAUGUUCCAGACACGUGUAGGUAUUCCGUCGUGUGUUCUGCGGGUAAACUAAUUAAUAAAAAUUCACAUCUUUUUGGUCAUGAUUGUACCUUUUAGUAUAUUUCUCAUGUUCAAAAUUAGGUGAUACACACAUAGUGCGCACGUAUACAUAAUUAACAAGUUCUUCAAUAUGUUUUAAAAUACUGUCGACAAUUUGAAUAUUCAAAACACAUAUAUUGAAACAAAUUUCAUUUCAUUCUAGAUCUACUCAUUAAAAAUAAAACAAAAUUAUGCAGUUUUGAUCAUCCUUUUAAAUUUUUAUAUUGCGAAGUAAUUUCAAUUCAAAAUGAAAAAUGCAUUUUUCAUUUUUCAACAUUUAAAGUCAAAUUACAAAAUACUUAAUGUCAGCAAUUCCAAUUUUUCUUCUGAAAUGAACUUAUAUUAUUUUAUUUCUAAAACAAGCAGCUGCAAAUCAUUUGAUGUAUUCAAACUGUUGAAAUUUUAUCUUUUUUUAAUAUCCUCGUGAAAUCAAAAAAAUUAAUUCCAUAUUGAUAACAAAUUUCAAUUAUCAUUAAGAAAAUGAUUUUUCAAAAGUCACUUCAAAAGAGUUUUGCCUUAUGUUUAAAGUGUGAAGAGCAAUUUGCUAAAUUUAUUUUUUUCUGUUAAAAAUGCCAUUUGUUUGGCGUAAAUAUACACGGUCUUCUGUUGUACAUUGAUUACCUAGUACUUCAUUUAUUUAGUAUUCAAUUAUUGACUAUUUUUUAUUAUUAAUUUCAGGAGAAUUUCUCAACUUGUGGAAUAAUCUUUAAACAGAAGAACAAAAACUUUCGGCGACUUUUACAAGGUUUGGACCUACUUAAAAAAAAA